AUGUUUCGAGUUUUAGAUCGUGAUCAAAUCCUUUACACAAUCUAAUCCUAUUACACCUUUGUUUGAUUGAUUUUUUAUGUAAAAACAAGGACAUGCAACAUCUCAAGUGAUGUAUUCAAAGGUUCUCAAGAAUCACUCAGAAGGAGAGUCUUCUGCUUAUCUCUAUGUAGUUUAGUUUGUGCAUUUCUGUUGAUCCAAAUUUUCUUUUUUUUUUUUCAAUUUGUCUAUGUAAUUUCUUGUAUAAUAUUAAGUAUUUUAUUUAAAAAGAUUGUUGAAAGGCUUUUCAAUCACAAAAACAAAUUAACAUAUCCAUAGUCAUUCUACAUGCUUUUCUUUAUUUUGGUGAAAUAAAGAUUUUUGUGUUUAUCAUUUUUAUUUUAAAGAAAAAAAUUCAAAUUUAUUAGAAUUUAUAUAUUUUAAUAUAGAAGUAUUUAAAACUACAUGAUAAGAGAUAUAUUUAAAAUAACUAAUCAUUAAAUCGAUAUAAUAUAAGAAAAAAAAUUAUAAAAUAUAAUUUAACUUUAUUAAAAUUUAAAUAAAAUUAAAUUGGAGUAGUUAAACUAAAACAAAGUAAAUAAGACUAUAAUAUAUUUAUGACCGUUAGAAAAAUAGAAAAAUAAUAAUAUUUAAAUGUAAAUUAUUUUUAGUUUAAAAUUAAAAAAAUAUAUAUUAUUUUUAAAAUUAUUAUUUUUGCGCAUGGCAGAUGAAAACUCAUACUCGUCUUCCUCGAUGAGUGUUGAUGAGAGAUUGUUCAUGAAACCGUCAUAGCAACCACAACUAGCUUUUUUAUAUUGCAUUCACCACUUCUCAUAUCUUAUGUGUUUUUGGAUGUUUUAUUUUUCGUGUUUUGAGAUGAAAUAUAUUCCGCAAUGCUUUCUACAAUUUGCAAAAACAUCUUAGUAAGUUGUUUAAAACAUGUUUACAUAAUUACAUCUUAUAUGAUGCUAAUGUGUACACCAACGUCACAUUGUACAUGUGUACAUUAACCUAACAAUAUACGUGUACAACAUACAUAAAACGCUCUCAGCCUCAUAUGAUUUCCAAAAAGUCAACAAUCUUUUUUGAGUCAUCCUGCUGUGUGUACUUCUGCAUAUAAUUACUGAAAUCCGUAGCUUUUAUUCCUUAUUGUUGCUAGUUUCCAUCCAGUUGUUAGGUAGAUGUUAGGUAGCUGUUGAGGAGCAUUACAUCACAUCCACGAGGACAAGAUCUGCUAUGAUUUGUUCGAAAAAUAGAUUGUUGAUUUUUCUUAUUUUUAAUAGCCUUGACGUUGCAUAUAUAAGAAAAGUUGAUGUAACUGAGAAACCUUGAGAACAAUAAAUUUGCAAAUUUCAUUAUUUUCUCCACUUCCUUUUAGUUUUUUUUCUGUAUCUGCCUUCACUCUCUUGGGAUAUAUAUAAAAAAAACAUAAAAAUAUCUGAGAGAAUAGGUUUAGAGUUUAUAGGGUCAGAUCGUUUUUGUGGGUUUGGUCCUGAAGAGCAAGAUGCGUUUGAAUGUGUGAUAUAGUAUCUGCAUAAUGACUGAGCCAAACCCGAUGUGGGACAAAUAGAGCGCAAGUUCUGACCCUUUACCCCUCCUGAAAUUAGUCCAGACGUUUCUUACACGUUAUGUCUCACUGGUAACUUUCUUAACUCCUAAACAUACUCAUUGUUUUAAUAAAAAUGCGAUUUAUUAGUCUCUCAUGGACCUAACUCUACUUGCAGAUUUUUGUUUGCAAGGGGAUCUUGGGCAUGAUUUUGACUCAAAAAUAAACUUAACACGUUAUACGAAUAGCCCACCAAAGGGCAAGCGGGUUUGUUUGUUGGAGGUCUCUCUCAAGGUGAUCAAUUAUUGAUGAAAGAAGCUAAACAUAUCUGAGGUCUUUCUUUGGAUAAACAAGAAAAUAGAUCGUGUCCAAAGAAUGAUUUAUGUUUUGUUGAUCUUGUUCUGGUUUGGUUUUGAACAGCUUAGUGUUGCUCUGUAAUGGAUGCAUAACCACUAGAUACGUCAGGAGAUUAUAAGGAACCGUUAUUUUGCCUCGUGAUAGCGAUGUUCCUUCGAAUCUUCUGACAUAUCUACUGCUUAUGCCACCAUUACAGAACAGCAACAAGCUGUUCAGAACCAAACCCAGAACAAGCACAACGGAACAUAAAAUCUGAUCAUCAGACACACGACCGUUGGGAAAUUCUUUUGUACAACUUGAAUCUGGAAAUCGAAGAAUCAUGUUUAUUGGAAAAAAAUAUAAUUUCUUUUCGUAUUACAAUUCUUUAGCACAAUUUAUAUGGAUAAAGAAGUGCAUAGAGCUGGCUUCUUUCUCGGCUCAGAUAAAUGGGGAGUUAGCGGGUUACUUCAACAGCAAGAGAGGCUUGCGUCAAGGGUGCUCGCUCUUGCCCUAUCUUUAUGUGAUCUGUAUGCAAGUUCUGACCAAGCUCUUGGAUAAAGCGGCUCUUGAAAACCGCAUAGGUUAUCACCCCUACUGCAAGGAGUUAUCCAUCACACACCUCUGUUUUGCCGACGACGUCUUAGUCUUUUCAGAUGGAAAGAAGAGCUCUAUAGAAGGUGUGUUGACAGUUUUUAAGGAGUUUCCUAUGAUGUCCGGUCUGAGUAUUAGCCUCGAGAAAUCUACCCUGUUCCUGGCUGGUGUGAAGGAGGAUGCUGCUGUGAAAAUUUUGGAUCAGUUCCCUUUUGAAGCGGGUUCUCUACCUGUAAGAUACUUGGGGUUACCGCUGCUGUCAAAGAAGAUGUCAAUCACAGACUAUGCUCCUCUGAUCUCGCAAAUCAUAAACAAGAUAUCUCCUGGACAGCGCGGCAUUUUUCAUUUGCGGGUCGACUGCAGUUAAUUGGUUAUGUGCUGUAUAAUGUGACAAACUUUUGGAUGUCAGCUUUUCGGCUUCCUAAGCAAUGCAUUUGAGAGAUUAACAGCUUAUGUUCGGCUUUUCUUUGGUCGGGACCGGUGAUGUCUACCCAGAAGGCAAAGAUUGCAUGGUCUGAUGUCUAUAAACCGAAGGAGGAAGGCGGUUUAGGUCUGCGGGAUCUGGAGGAAGUUAACAAAGUCUCUUGUUUGAAGUUAAUAUGGCGCAUUCUCUCAGCAAGAUCUUCGCUGUGGGUUCAAUGGAUUCACAGAUAUCUGAUCAGGAAAAGCUCUUUUUGGAAUGUGAAGGAAACAAGUUCCAUGGGCUCCUGGAUGUGGAAGAAAGUCCUGAAGCUCAGACCUUUGGCCCUGCAGCUCACAAAAAUGGAAGUAAACAGCGGAGCUUGAACAUCAUUCUGGCUUGAUAAAUGGUCGCAGCUGGGAGUCCUGUUAAAUCUUACAGGAGAAACUGGCUGUAUCAAACUUGGCAUUCCGAUCAACGCGACGGUGGAGAGAGUAGUAAACACCUAUCGCAGGCGUCGGCAUAGAAGCCAUGUCUUACUUCAGAUAGAGAAUGAGAUUAUAUCUCUUCAGGAACGCAGGCUUGGACAGCAAGAUGAUAGAUGUCUUUGGAUGAGGGAGAAUGGAGAUUUCAGAACGGGUUUCACGACAUCUCAAACUUGGAAUCUAACAAGAGCACACGGGCCCCGUGUUCUUUGGUCCAAGGGGAUAUGGUUCAAGGAGGCUACUCCCAAAUUUUCCUUUCUGACUUGGGAUGCGGUUCACAACAGGUUAUCGACGGGAGAUCGGUUGCUUAAGUGGAACCCUCAAGCAAUAUCAACUUUCUGGCUCUGCAAUGCAACUACUGAAACGCGAGAUCAUUUGUUUUUCGAGUGUGUUUUCUCUGAAGAAGUUUGGAAAUGAACAAUAAGGGGCCUGGCUGGGCAAGGACAUUCGGUGCAAUGGCAAUCUUUGAUACAACGGUUGGUGACAGGUCUUCCAGACCCAACACUAACCUUCCUCCUUCGAUACUGUUUCCAAACGGUAGUCUACGCUAUCUGGCAUGAGAGAAACACCCGGAGAGUUGGAGAUCCUUCUCUACCUCGUGCUCGAUUGAUUAUCUAUAUCGAUAGGUUGGUCAGAAACAGAAUAUCCUCCUUGCGAAAGAGAGUGGAAAGUAAAUGUGAGAAGGCCAUGGAGAUAUGGUUUGGGAGUAGAUAAUGCUUAUUUUUUUUCUCAAAGUUUUUUUAGGUCUAUAUCUACACAAAAUAGCAUUAGGUUGUACAAAAAUUUUUGAAGUGAAUAAAUUUAAAAAAAUUUCACACAAAAAAAAAAAGAUGUGAAUAAACUUGGUUACGCAUAGAGACAAUUGGAAAAUGUGUGGUAUAAUAUAGGGGACAAAAGUAAGAGAUUAUCCUCCCAUCACAAGAGCCAUUAAUUCCUUGAGCUACAAGAAACAAUAGAGACCCUCUGGUUCCUGCUUAAUUAACAACUGUAAAAAAUACUUUUGAACUCAAAGAAUUGCCUCACGGUCAAUAGUAAACAUGUCUUAAGACUUAACUCACAGAGAGAAGGCUAUGGAAACAACAAGAAUAGCUUCUUAUUUAUAGUAGAUAAUAGAUAGCUCAAGGAGAUAAGUAGAGAAUCUUAUAAGAUUACAAUCGAAUUUGAGUCACACUCUCCAAACCAGAACGGAUAAAUAGUUUCUGCAUAUGUUUCGAGUUUUAGAUCGUGAUCAAAUCCUUUACACAAUCUAAUCCUAUUACACCUUUGUUUGAUUGAUUUUUUAUGUAAAAACAAGGACAUGCAACAUCUCAAGUGAUGUAUUCAAAGGUUCUCAAGAAUCACUCAGAAGGAGAGUCAUCAAUGGGAUGCCAGAAUCUAUUAUAGAACCACAUGGUGUCACCCUUCACCGCAUAGCCAUCCUGGUUCCUGUGCCAACCAUAGUACGCGUGAG
rnacentral:lncRNA from 1 species